CGCGCGGGCCGUGACUGGCGCAUCGAGGUGGACCACCACCGGGGAGCGGCCUGCACCGUCCCGCCGUGCGCCUGGGCACUCUCC
rnacentral:ncRNA from 2 species